UUUCACUGGCCAGGAGGCCUGGGGGAGCCCCAGGAGACAGUGAGGAGGGCUCUCUGGCUUCUUCUGGAACCAGCAUAUCCAGAAGUCCCCCACAAUGAAGCCACUGCUCAGGGUGCAGGAACUUUCCCAGCAUUGCCUGCAGUAAGAUAUGAGGG